CACCCAAUCUACCAAUCACGGGUCAAUCCCAACUGUCAAUCAUGACGUUUCACCGCAUUUUUAUAGCAUCACUUAACUAAUAAAAACCCAAAUUAUCAGAAAAAUUCACACUUAAACAACAAACAUCGUGAUCAGAACUACCUAAAGUGACCAAAAACAUCUUUAGUAACGUUGUAUUUGACGUGUACUUAAAUUCUUUUCAGUUUGGUCCAUAUCCCAUUGACUAACAUGGAGGGGGCGGUGUUUAUGAUCUAUACUGCAGCCAGCCACGAGGGGGCGAUCCAGAUUUUUUUUGGCUUCACUUAUAAAGUCAAUGCAUCAACCCCUGAUUUGGAUACACUUGUUAAACCAC